rnacentral:rRNA from 1 species
AGUGAACGCUGGCGGUAGGCCUAACACAUGCAAGUCGAACGGCAGCACAGUAAGAGCUUGCUCUUACGGGUGGCGAGUGGCGGACGGGUGAGGAAUACAUCGGAAUCUACUUUUUCGGGGGGGAUAACGUAGGGAAACUUACGCUAAUACCGCAUACGACCUACGGGUGAAAGCAGGGGAUCUUCGGACCUUGCGCGGUUGAAUGAGCCGAUGUCGGAUUAGCUAGUUGGCGGGGUAAAGGCCCACCAAGGCGACGAUCCGUAGCUGGUCUGAGAGGAUGGUCAGCCACACUGGAACUGAGACACGGUCCAGACUCCUACGGUAGGCAGCAGUGGGGAAUAUUGGACAAUGGGCGCAAGCCUGAUCCAGCCAUACCGCGUGGGUGAAGAAGGCCUUCGGGUUGUAAAGCCCUUUUGUUGGGAAAGAAAAGCAGCAGGUUAAUACCCCGCUGUUCUGACGGUACCCAAAGAAUAAGCACCGGCUAACUUCGUG